CCACCCCCACCCCCCCCGCACCCUCACCCCCACCAACCCCACCCACCCCCUCACCACCCCCACCCCACGCCCCGUGUUCUGGUCGCCAGCCUCUGGCCAAUGCCCCUGCAGCCCAGCCCCGUUUUCCUCCCUGGCACCACCGAGGGGGCCGGCCCAGGGCUCUCCAGGAGCCCGCCGUGGGCUGAGUACGGCCGAGGACUGGGCAGGCAGGGCAGCCGGUGGUCGCCGUCCCUCCAGGACACGAGUGCCCCUGCACAGGGGCGGAAGGGGAGGCCCGGGAGCCGGGGAGCCGCGGAGGCCAAGGGCCAGGCGGCCAGGCCCAGGGCAGGGCGGGGCGAUCCCAGCGUGCGGCCCUGAGGCACUGUCCCCACACCGCUCCACACUGUCCCGAAGCCCCCGAGCGCCAGCCCGGACCCCGGGACACGCCCCCCCACCACACACACACACACACACACACACACACACACACACACACACACUCCCCCCCCCGACCCCGGGACACACACCCCCACCCCACCCCUGCACCCCCGCACCCCCGACGCUGGACACCCCCCACACACUCCCCUCCCCUCCAGCAACGCGCGGCGCUCCCAUCCCCGGCAGCCCACCAGGUGGCGCUCGCUCCCCCAUUUCCCCCCCCCCCUCCCGCGCCGACGCCCGUGACGUCAGCCGCCCGGCUCCAUUUGAGCGCCUCUCGCAGCCGAGAACUCGGACUUCCCGUGUGGCUCACAACAUAACUACUCGGCGUUGCUUCUACAGUGGCUGUGGCUCGACCCCUGGCCUGGGAACUUCCAUAUGCCGCAGCCCCGCGGCGGCAGAUGGCACUCGUUCUGCCGCUUUUUCCUGGCUGUGUGCGAUGCCAUCGCAUAGAUGUCCCCGGCUGCGAAGUGCACUCACCUGUCAGUGGACCUUUAGGUGGCUUCCAGAUCUUGGCUCUGGUGAGUAGUGCGGCGACAGACAGAGGGGUGCCCGGGUCUGCUUCCGGGAAAGUUUGGUCCCGGUGAAAUGGAGCUG
rnacentral:lncRNA from 1 species